UAGCCUAACGGCUGAACCAGCAAUUUGGGGGAAUGUAUAGCGAAAGCUAGUUGUAUUAUUAGUUAAUGCAAGAUCGAUUAGUCGAUUAAAGUUCUAGGUAGAAUAAUGAUGAUGACAAUUUUUUACCUAUAUGUCUUGACCAAGUCUCGUGCCAGCAGUCGCGGUAAUACGUGGAAGACUAGUGUUAUUCAUCUUUAUUAGGUUUAAAGGGUACCUAGACGGUAUUUCUAGCCCAAAAUAGGGUACGGAUUUACUAGAGUUUUAUGUGAGGAGGGGAGUACUCGUAGAGUAGAGAUGAAAUUUUAUUAUACUAUGAGGUAACUGGUGGCGGCGAAAGUAACCUUCUAUGUAUAAACUGACGUUGAGGGACGAAGGCUUGGGUAGCAAAUAGGAUUAGAUACCCUAGUAGUCCAAGCAGACAAUUCUGAAUGCCAUAGAUUAGAUUAUUUUUGGUCUAUAAAUGAAAGUGUAAGCAUUCCACCUUAGGAGUAAUGUGGCAACACAGGAACUGAAAUCAUUAGACCGUUUCUGAAACCAGUAGUGAAGUAUGUUAUUUAAAUUGAUGGUCCACAAAAAACCUUACCACAACUUGAAUAUUUUUAAUUAAUACAAGCGUUGCACGGCUGUCUUCAGUUAAUGUCGUGAGAUUUUGGUUAACUCCAUUAAUUAACGUAAACCCUUACUUUAUUUUUAUUUUUUUAUAAAGUAGAUCGCCUAUAUAUGGGAUAUGAUAAAAGGGACUAAGACAAGUCAUCAUGGCCUUAAUGUUGUGGG
rnacentral:rRNA from 1 species